UACAGAGGGUGCAAGCGUUAAUCGGAUUUACUGGGCGUAAAGCGUGUGUAGGUUGCUCGCUAAGUCGGUUGUGAAAUCCCCGGGCCUAACCUGGGAACUGCAUUUGUGACUGCAUGGCUAGAGUUUGUCAGAGGGGGGUGGAAUUCCACGUGUAGCAGUGAAAUGCGUAGAUAUGUGGAGGAACACCGAUGGCGAAGGCAGCCCCCUGGGAUGUGACUGACGCUCAUGUACGAAAGCGUGGGGAGCAAACAGG
rnacentral:rRNA from 1 species